rnacentral:rRNA from 1 species
AGAGUUUGAUCCUGGCUCAGCCUGAACGCUGGCGGCGUGGCUAAGACAUGCAAGUCGUACGGUGUAGCAAUACACAGUGGCGGACGGGUGAGUAAUGAAUCGCUAAUGUACCCCAGAGUCUGGGAUAGCUGCCCGAAAGGGCAGGUAAUACCAGAUGAUAUAUCCGGUUGGCAUCAACUGGAUCUCAAAGGGCAAUCGCUCUGGGAGCAGGCGAUUUCGUAUCAGCUUGUUGGUGAGGUAACGGCUCACCAAGGCGACGACGCGUAGCUGGUCUGAGAGGACGGCCAGCCACAUUGGGACUGAGACACUGCCCAGACUCCUACGGGGGGCUGCAGUAACGAAUCUUCCGCAAUGCACGCAAGUGUGACGGAGCGACGCCGCGUGUGGGACGAAGUCCUUCGGGAUGUAAACCACUGUCAGGGGUUACCAAGUUCUGAGGAGCCCCAGAGGAAGAGACGGCUAACUCUGUGCCAGCAGCCGCGGUAAUACAGAGGUCUCGAGCGUUAGGCGGAAUCACUGGGCUUAAAGCGUGUGUAGGUGGAUGCCUAAGUACCUUGUGAAAUCCCACGGCUUAACCGUGGAACUGCUUGGUAUACUGGGUGUCUUGAGUCACUCAGGGGCGAGCGGAACAAAUGGUGGAGCGGUGAAAUGCGUAGAUAUCAUUUGGAACGCCAAUGGUGAAAACAGCUCGCU